CAGACUUAGUGGUGGGUUCAGCUGUUCCCCGCAGCCAUGUUCACAUGUUUCCACAUGACAUGGUGGGUUAUCCUCCUUUCCUUAUUUACCAGCCACUAGAAAUCAAAGUUAAAGUCAAACAGACUCAGAGAAAAGAAAGAGUAGAGGAGAAAAGGAUAAUCACCUCUGAGCAGCAUGGACUGGGGAACAAGGGGCCAUAAAGGUCAUUGUACUGAGCUCCAGAGGAUAGAACAGAAGUGAACAACAGAAAAAGGCCUCUCUCAGGCUCCAUGAUGAACAUUGAAGCCCACUGGAAAAGUGAAGAGAAUCUCUGUAAUAAAGGCACACUAGACCACCGUGGUUGGUAAGUUGGAGGGAUCACCACUCCUGAGGGGAAGGGCAGCUGAAACCUG
rnacentral:lncRNA from 1 species